UUAAAUUCUGGAAAAUUUCGGAAACAAUUGCAAUCGAAGGGUUGCAGGUUCAAUUCCUGUCCGUUUCAAAUCGAAGGGUUGCAGGUUCAAUUCCUGUCCGUUUCA